UCCCUGACUUAUAUUAUGACAAGGCCCAGAAAAUUUAAGUGAUUUAUCAGAGAUCAUCCAGGUAUCUCCAAGACAGUACUCAUCUGGUGGGAAAGAAAAACUAAAGCUAAAGAAGAUACAACUCUGGGCUGCAGGUCUGCCUACGAGCUGAUUAAUGUCUAGUUCAGAGCAACCUCGAGUGUAGAUCUUUAACUCCCAGACUAA